CGCAAGCGCUCUACGCGCGGGGAAGUGACGGCACGCUUCCGCCAGCCCCGCGGUAGAGUGAGAGGGAAGGGACAAUCUUGGUACGGACGGCGACACGAGCGCGAGGAGGUGCUGUGGAGACUGAAGAACGGUGGCUGUGGCGAAAGCAGAGACUCCCUGGUGGCAUGCAGUGCUGGAGACAGACAGAUCAUUCUGUCAUAGAAUGUUGGGAAAAUACCUAGCCUGGAGUCGAAGACAGAAGAGCUUUCUAGGAGCAGACAGAGCCAAGCUGGCAGCCUGGAAAGCCCUUGCCGAGAAGGUAUUCAUGGGACUGAGACGUGUUCCCUUUCUGCUUUUACCCAAAGCUUUCCUUAUCUUAGGAAGUGGGGAAUUUGGCUGAAACCCAGUGCAUCCAUCUGGUUAAAAUAAACGUCUUGGGUGGUCUAAGAUGGAAAAGAACUUAAUGAAGAGUCAGAUUUGGAAGCGGGAGAGACAGAUUUGGAAGUAGAAAUGUUGCCUUUGUGAAUUUGGGGCUUUUUAGCACCAGUUAAACAUAUGAUGUCAGUCUUGGGCCUGAGGGUGUCCCUUCCAGUUGAAUGCCCCUGUAACACUGCCAGCUGCCUAUAGCAGGGUUUGGAGGAAGAUGUGCUCUGAGGGGUAAGAUUGUGGCCUCAGACAGAGAUAGAUGGAAUCACAGAAAUCAGGAGCCAUGUGGGGGAAAACCAAGGAGCUGUGGAAAGAGCACUGGUUGUGAAGUAGAGGUCUGAGUUUGUAUGCUGGUCCUCUUCUUUUUUUUUUUUUUUUUUUGUGUUACGUGGGCCUCUCACUCUUGUGGCCUCUCCCGUUGCGGAGCACAGGCUCC